UACGUAGGGUGCAGGCGUUUAAUCGGAAUUACUGGGCGUAAAGUGUGCGCAGGUGGCCGCGCAAGUCGAGUGUGAAAUCCCCGGGCUUAACUUGGGAAUUGCGCUCGAAACUACGUGGCUCGAGUAUGGCAGAGGAAGGUGGAAUUCCACGUGUAGCGGUGAAAUGCGUAGAGAUGCGGAGGAACACCGGAUGGCGAAGGCAGCCCCCUGGGCGUGACACCUGACGUCUCAGGCA
rnacentral:rRNA from 1 species